UCUCCGUGUGUCUUCCUCACUCUCACCAAACCCUAGCCGCUGACGACACCUCCAUCUCCGUUUGAGUGUUCUCCGUCCAGUCGAAAUCUUCACCUUCGUAGCCAUCCUCUUCGUUAUGUUGAUGAAGAACUGCGCCACAAGGAAACGUCUCCUCUGCUGCACACCACUAGCGCAUUUUUACUUCAUCUGAAGCUAAACGCAUUUGCGCCACUUGUCCCUUCGCGCAAUGCACGCCUAGCUGUGUUGGUCUUCUUCAUUACCAUUUAUUCGACGGUUCUGCCAAAACUUCCAACCACCGUCAGUCGCCGGAUUUUAGUGACUUUGUGGUUGUUGGGGUUUUGUUGUAGUUUUUCUUAAUUACCCCUUUAGAUCUUUUGGAAGAGACCAAAGAGAAUAGAAGACAGAAGGGGAGAAUACAAGAGAUCACUUGAAUGUGCGUGCAACAAUUGAGAAGUAUAAUCGUGUUGAGAAUAAAAUUCCCUGAGAAGCAGAGCUCAAACGAGCGAAGAAGAAAAUCCCUUGAAGAAGAGCACCUUUGCGCCAAACGAAAAAGAAUCUGUAAUAUCGAUUUGAUGAAGAAGAUGGUUGUAAUUGGUUUGAUGAAGAAAAUGGUCGGCAAGAAGAAAAUCAUUUUAUUUGCACCGAAUGUAUGAAGGCUUUGAAGGUUUUGAGAAGGACGAAGCUUGAAGUUUCAAUCUUUUCUGCGACUGAUUGAAAACUUUGAAGAUUUAAAGGAGACGAAAGAGUUUCAGGAUUUUUUUCGAUAGAAUCUACGAAAGUGGAAGAUAGGGAAGCUAGAUUCUUUUCGGCUUUGAAGAGUUUCAAAAGAGAGUGAUGCACAAUUUCAAUGAUGUGUUAUUUAAUUACAUGGUAUUUGGAUUUUAGGUGAAUAAUUGUUUUUUGAAUUGGGUAGAGAUAUUUCAGACAUUGUUCAAUUUAUUUAUUUUUCAA